AGAGUGAACGCUGGCGGCAGGCCUAAUACAUGCAAGUCGAACGGCAGCACAGCAGAGCUUGCUCUGUGGGUGGCGAGUGGCGGACGGGUGAGGAAUACAUGGGAAUCUGCCCAGUCGUGGGGGAUAACGUAUGGAAACGUACGCUAAUACCGCAUGCGCCCGUUCGGGGGAAAGCCGGGGACCUUCGGGCCUGGCGCGAUUGGAUGACGCCCAGUGUCGGAUUAGCUAGGUUGGACGGGGUAAAGCCCACCGAAGGCGACGAUCCGUAGCUGGUCUGAGAGGAUGAUCAGCCACACGUGGAACUGACGACACGGUCCAGACUCGUACGGGAGCAGCAGGUAGGAAUAGUGGACAGUGGCG
rnacentral:rRNA from 1 species